AAGACGGAAUAAAAAAUAGUAAAUAGGCAAUUUCGUCCCUGACUUAUUUUUUGCAUCAAUUUCGUCCAUGACUUUGCACUUUUACAUCAAUUUCGUUCCUAAUUUUUCGGUUACUUCAAUUUGAUUAUCGAUUUUGCACAGUUACAUCAAUUUAGUCCAUGACUUUGUGCAGUUACACAAGUUAGUACUACAGUUUCAUCAAUUUGGUCCUUGUGUGGGGUGGUUGCAUCGAUCACGUCAGAAUGCCACAUCAAUUUGAUCCCCUGCUACAUCAAUUUGGUCCUGCGUUAAGUAGGUCCCUGACUGUGUUAAAUGAUGCAAAUUGUUACAUCAAUUUGGUCCUCGUGCUACAUCAAAUUAGUCCCUACACUAUUUCAAGGUGGUUAUCUUCAUCCUUGUCAUCGUAACGAGUCUCUUCAUCAAACAGAGGAGUGGGAUCGAGACGUACAGUGUCCUUAGCCCAUUGGAUGAUCUUCUCGACUUUAUCAUCCUCAUCGUCAGAGUUCAAGCAGCUAGGGUCUUGAUCUCAGCUGUCGCAAGCGAACGAUAUCCCUGAGGGGACUAGAUUCGCGAAGCCACAGAAGGAAAAGAUGAUGAGGACGAGGAAGGAUGAAGAGAACCAUUGAGAGCAGAGAAUCGAGCAGAGAGAUCAUCGCCUAAAACAGCUUUCAGCUGGUCGUCAACGUACUAGUUGAGGGAAAGCUUCAAAAGGACAUUGCUGUGUGCGGCAAGCUGCUCCACUUCGUCCAUACUUAAAGGUGGAUUUCUGAGGGUCGGAGGGAGAGGUAACUGAGCAAGCCCUGAAAUUCCAUCUUCGUAAGGGGAAUGACGGGGCAUGGGUGGUUGGGAUGAGGGAAGGGUUCCUCUUCUUUCUGGAGAAAAAUGCGAUGGAAUGGGGGCUGGAUAGCAGCCGAGGUUCAUCGCGGGGGCAUAGUGGAGAGAAGUUGAGCGAGAAAUGAAAGCUCGCACAAGGAGAGGAAGAAGAAGAUGGAGGAGAAAACAUUCGUUUGAAGUAGGACGGUAAAACAAAGAGAAAGGGGAGAGAGAGAGAGAGAAGAUAUAUAUAUAUAUAUAUAUAUAUAGAGAGAGAGAGAGAGAGAAAAAGAUAAGGUAGAUGAAUAAUAUGAUAAUUUGAUGUUACAUUAAUUUGUCCAGUCGUUACAUCAGUUCAGUCUCUUAACAAAUUAAUGGAACAGUAACACCAUCUGCCUCUUAGUCACUCGGAUUAGAAUGAUGUAACCAAGAAUCGCUCUGAUGUGACGUCAAAACUCAGGAACUUGUGUUGCGAAAGUUAAAGAUUAAAUUGAUGUAACCGUGAAAAAUUAUGAAUUAAAUUGAUGUAACCAUGCAAAGUCGGGGAUGAAAUUGAAUCAAAAAAUAAGUCAUGAAAGAAAUUAAUGCAAAAAAUAAGUUAUAAACGAAAUUGAUGCAAUUUACAAAAAUUUGGAAUGGAAUUGUCUAUUUACUCAAAAAAAAAAAGUUCAAUCCCGCCAAAGAAAUCUCUAAAACCCAAAAAAUUGAAAACCCCGCUCGACCCCUCUGCUCUUUCCCCCCAAAUCCCUAAAACCUAAUUUGUCUCUCUCUCUCUCUCUCUCUCUCUCUCUCUCUCUCGUCCUCGGCGCACUCUCUGCUGCUGCCUGGCUUUUUCGAUUCGUUGAACGGAAAAACCUCCCCAUCGGCAUGUUCCUCCGCUACCGCCAAAGCCAGAGAUAGUCUUCCCUCCCCCUCCUCUCUUUCUCUCGCUACAAAAUUCCCCGGGAAACAAGCGGGGAAUUUUCUCGGGGAAGCCAUGUUUGACGCUCUGAUCAACGGGCUCGCAGGAGCGCGGGCGGAGGGGAGGGGGUGGCGGGCGCAUCAUCUCCCAGCUCAUCACGUAUCCUCUCCAAACUGUAAAUACGAGGCAGCAGACAGAGCGUGACCUAAAGAAGGAGAAGAGGAAAAUUGGCACCGUUGAGCAAAUGUGUCAAGUACGAGCUCGAUCUGUUGUUGUUUCAGAUGGAAAGGGCUUCGCAGUUCUGCUCUGGCUGUUGAUUUUUGACCAGAGGAUUGGAAAUAUCAGCUGACGAACCCUUCUCUCUUGCGAAACCCUCCUUACUAUGAAAUGUUCAUCUGAGAUUCCAAAAUCCAAUUAGCAAAUCCAUGAAAUGUUGAUUUUUCCAUGAUUUCAUUGCUUGUCCCAAAGGGGUAGUUUUGUUGUGAAUUCUUGAGGCUACAGCUCUCAGCAAGGGAGGCUUGUACUGUUCUGUUCUAUUCUGUUAAUCUGCUCGCUUGUAUUGCACUAUCUCAUUUGUACUGUUGGAA